UUUCAAGCGAAGGUGGAUGUCAAGGUUUAUGUGCUGCAGUGGAAAGACAGCGAGCUGGCUUUCUGGACUCUUCUUAUAAAGCAAUCUGCAACCUCUGGACUCUCCGUUCAGUUCAGAGUCCCCCGGAGCUGUUGUUUGCCAGGACUGAGAGUCUCACCCUGUGCUUGUCCACCUUAAAAUUCAGCUAAAUAAGCAAAGGGAUGCAUGUGCAGAUUUCUGGAUCUCCUACUUUUACAGCCCUCUCAUCUCUGGUAUU